CCUCGGGAAGGCAGCAGUGGGGAAUCUUAGACAAUGGGCGCAAGCCUGAUCUAGCCAUGCCGCGUGAGUGAUGAAGGCCUUAGGGUCGUAAAGCUCUUUCGCCUGUGAUGAUAAUGACAGUAGCAGGUAAAGAAACCCCGGCUAGCUCCGUGCCAGCAGCCGCGGUAAUACGGAGGGGGUUAGCGUUGUUCGGAAUUACUGGGCGUAAAGCGCGCGUAGGCGGAUUAGAAAGUUGGGGGUGAAAUCCCGGGGCUCAACCCCGGAACUGCCUCCAAAACUGCUAGUCUAGAGUUCGAGAGAGGUGAGUGGAAUUCCGAGUGUAGAGGUGAAAUUCGUAGAUAUUCGGAGGAACACCAGUGGCGAAGGCGGCUCACUGGCUCGAUACUGACGCUGAGGUGCGAAAGUGUGGGGAGCAAACAGGAUUAGAUACCCUGGUAGUCCACACCGUAAACGAUGAAUGCCAGUCGUCGGAUAGUAUACUAUUCGGUGACACACCUAACGGAUUAAGCAUUCCGCUUGGGGAGUACGGUCGCAAGAUUAAAACUCAAAGGAAUUGACGG
rnacentral:rRNA from 1 species